CCUUCUUUCCUUUCCUCGCUUCCUUCCUCCCUCCCUUCCUUCCUUGACUCAGGAGGGCUAAGGGAAUCAAUUCAACAUGCUGGAUAAAAUUCAGCUCUUCUUAACAAGUUCCCAUGGUUCCUUUGUACAUACUAGAGUGCUUUUAGAGAGACAAAGAAAGGCACUAAAGGCACUCUAGUACACACUUCCAGGUACUCUCUUUCUGGUUACUUUUGUGGUGUGGCAUUUAAAUGUAUCUGAUACAGAAGUAAGAUAUUGGGCCCCAUCUUGCGGUCGGCGCACAGCGAAUGGCGCGCGUGGCGCAUGUCUUUAUUAGUUUCCCCCGGCUCAGUUAUCACUUUCUCGCCCUGUGCCCACGUUGUCUAAAUAGCAAAUGCACUUGCACCAGUCUGUGCGCCUAUGGGUGUGUUGGUCUCUAAAUGAGAUGUGGUCAGGUUCAUUGGUGGCGCGAUGAUAUUCUGAGGCAGAAGAAAGUGUUUGCGCUACUGACCAAAAAAAAAAACAGGUCUGAAGUCACUGGCGCAUAUUUCACUGUUAUUUAAGAGUCUUAUUAUCAAGAGUCCAAUAUGCUCCUAUAGAUAGCUUGUUACCACACGGACGCAGCACACAAACAUGCAAAACAUCACUAAUAAAAGGACCACAAUGUGAAUUCGUAUUGUGGUGUAAAUCAACAUAUUAAAAAUGCAUGUCAUAUUAGUUAGUCAUAAUAUUUAUCAGAUUUAAUUAAUUGUAAAAAAUGGAGAGCGCCGUUGUGGACAGUCCUAACAAAAAAGUCUGUAUAGCCUCUGACAAGAGCGCAGUGCCAUUACGCACAGCCACUCACUGUUUAUUAAAUCACCUGAUGACACCAGACUGCUGCAGUAUAACUACACACACCUCUACACUCAUCACACUGGUUGGUUAUAUCUCCAUAUUCUUCCUUUAUAUGAAUUAAAUGUGAGGUUAGCAGUUAAUCAGCCAACUUUCCUUUCAGCAAAAGUAACUCAUGUUAUAUUAUUGAAACGCAUUGCUGGGUAAAUGUUAUAAUAGCAAUCCACCAAAGUGACAGCGCUCUUUGAUAUUAAAGGGAAUGGGAGAUGACACUCUGAUUGGUUUACUCUGGCGCAGUGACUGUUUUUCCGCCGUUAAAAUAGCAAAAGUGGAUUUGGAUACGCCCCAAAGGCACUUGCGCCACGCGCUUCACGCCAUGAGCCAUUGAUCGUUAAAAUAGGGCCCAUUAUGUUUAAUUCCUCACCUACACUACUGACUGACUGGACUCCUUUAGGAAGGAACUGGUUAAUAUCGUUUGAUAAUGGUUUAAUUACAGUAUCAUCAGUUGAUGUAUUUGACUCGAGCUGAUAAUGUCAGUUAACUGUAUUGGUUAAAAGUAACCAACUGUAAAAAUCAGAAAGUAUCAUUGCAGGAUUUUCUGCAACCUUCCACAGCUUAAACAAGGUAGUGACUUGUUCCAUGGAGAUUCAUUCAUUCAUUGCGUUAACUGAAAAUGUGCUCAUUAAAUGAGUUUGUGUGAUCGCUUUUGAAACUAAUUCAAGAAGAUACAUCAUCAAAAAAAUUCUUCUAAUCAGAGUUAUGACAUCUAUGGAACCCUAACCCAUCACCUCAAAAUCACAAGCACAAAAGAAUCAUUGUUUUCUUGAUAUGAUCUUUAUUAUGAGAAAACAACUUUGUCAUCAUAAAUAAUAAGAACCCUAACUCCUGAUUUUGAGAUAAUGGGUAAAAUAAAAUAAAAAAAAGUUUCCAACUGAUUUGUUUCAUUCCUAGUCACAGAAUGAUCAGUUUGUCUGUUUUUUAUUCUUUAAAACCAUAUAAUAUCCAAUGCCUGAGGUCAGCCCCUAUGAGCAAACCUUAAUAUUGGCUUUGUAACAGAGGGGAAUACUGUGAGCUUAGUUAAUCUAAUGUGAAUCAUGUCUAUCUGUCAAACCUCUGACAGGACCGAGCUGAGCCAGAAACAUAACACUUGAACAACUUUGACUUUCACUGAAGCUGCUUGAUGUUUGUGUUUGAAGUUUGACUUCUGUGCUCGUCUUCCUGCAGUUUCAUCACACACACACAUGCAUAUGAGUUUGCUUAUUGCUUAAUUAUGUGGCAAAGAUUAGGUCAUACUGUUGUUGACAAGAAAUGGUUUCAUUUCAUGUUGUAAUGUCUUAUCUGAAAAAAACCCUAUUUUGUCCUGUGUUCAUUCUGACAGACCGAACAAUGUUCUGAGAUAAACAAGUCAUUUUUUGUUUUUGAUUUGAUUAGAUUUUUUUAUUUAGAUGUAUUUCAUAUCUUCAUAUUUAAUCUCAUCUCUGCACACUGUGCAUUUGUUAAAACUUAUCAGUAAAAGUUUAUUAUGAUCUCAGCAGUGAGCCAGCAGUACAUCAACAGGAGUUAACCUCUAAGGAAUUAACUCAUUUUAUACCACAUUUUAAUAUUAAUAAUGCAUCAUUUAAGACAGAAUUUUGUAAAAAAAAAAAAAAAAAAAAAAGACAA